rnacentral:rRNA from 1 species
GCCUAGUUCCUUAUUAUAAAUUCACAAGGUAAAAAUUAUAUACAAGUAAAUAUACUAAUUCUAUCAUUAUUACAAAAAUUUUAAAAUUAAAUAAAUAAUCCUAAUAAAAAACCUAAAAUAAUUAUAAAAUCAAAAUAGAAAAUAAUGAACUAAAACGUAAUCAUAAAGAUAGCUGGUUUAAAGCUUACUAUUAUAUUUUAUAAAACAAAUUAUAGGUUAUUAACUUCAAAGCUUAUCCCUUAAAGAAUAAAUAAGUUAAUAUUUAUAAUUAAAAAAUUAAAUAAAAACAAUUAACUUUAAAAAAUUAAAAUUUUUCUUAAGAAACUAGAUAUCUUGGGAAACGAUUAACAUUUCAUUUCCAUAAAUAAUUUAAUAAUAAUUAUGAUACAUUAACUAUAAAUUAUUUAUAAAUCAACCCAAAUCGAGACAAGUAAAUUAAAUACUAAAAUUUUGAUAAACCCUGAUACAAAAGGUACAAUAAAUAAAAUAUACUUUUAAAAAUUUAAAAUAAUAUUUCAUAAAACAAUUACAUUACCAAUAAACUAUAAUUUAAAAAAUCAAUUCUACAAAAUAUACUAAGACAAAAUUCAAUAAAAUUAUUUUUAUUA